rnacentral:rRNA from 1 species
AACGCGAAGAACCUUACCAAGGCUUGACAUACACCGGAAACGACCAGAGAUGGGCGCCCCCUUGUGGUCGGUGUACAGGUGGUGCAUGGCUGUCGUCAGCUCGUGUCGUGAGAUGUUGGGUUAAGUCCCGCAACGAGCGCAACCCUUGUCCCGUGUUGCCAGCAGGCCCUUGUGGUGCUGGGGACUCACGGGAGACCGCCGGGGUCAACUCGGAGGAAGGUGGGGACGACGUCAAGUCAUCAUGCCCCUUAUGUCUUGGGCUGCACACGUGCUACAAUGGCCGGUACAAUGAGCUGCGAUACCGCGAGGUGGAGCGAAUCUCAAAAAGCCGGUCUCAGUUCGGAUUGGGGUCUGCAACUCGACCCCAUGAAGUCGGAGUCGCUAGUAAUCGCAG